GGGAUGGAACAAUCAAAGACCCAGUAAGCCUGAACGAAGACUUGGUGUGGCCAGUGGUAGUUGUCGUCAUCGUCUGAGACCCAAUAGACUUGAGCGACCUCGUCGAUCAGAAAGGAGCAUCGGAGCAAGUGCUGGGGAUUGGGUUUUUGGGCUUAGAAGUUUUUUUUGAAAAAAAAUUAAGAGAGGGAAGAAGCUGAUGUAGGCCAUGUGGUUGAAAAUCAGACUGGCCCAAUUGGAUUUGGAUCGAGCUCAGGCUCGGACAUAGAUCGGGCUUGGGCCUAAGUUUUUUAAAAACUUUUGAGUCUAAGCCUGACCUACUUCCAGCCCCAUCGAUUAUUGGUUAUUUGUGUUUGCAUUUAUUAGUCACAAG
rnacentral:lncRNA from 1 species